rnacentral:rRNA from 1 species
UACGUAGGGCGCAAGCGUUAUCCGGAAUUAUUGGGCGUAAAGAGCUCGUAGGCGGUUUGUCGCGUCUGCCGUGAAAGCCCGAGGCUCAACCUCGGAACUGCCUUCGAUACUGCGGGUCUCGAGUCCGGGAGAGGUGAGUGGAAUUCCUAGUGUAGAGGUGAAAUUCGUAGAUAUUAGGAAGAACACCAGUGGCGAAGGCGGCUCACUGGCCCGGCACUGACGCUGAGGCGCGAAAGCGUGGGGAGCAAACAGG